AGAGACGCUGGCGGCAGGCCUAACACAUGCAAGUCGAACGGACCCUUCGGGGUUAGUGGCGGACGGGUGAGUAACACGUGGGAACGUGCCUUUAGGUUCGGAAUAGCUCCUGGAAACGGGUGGUAAUGCCGAAUGUGCCCUUCGGGGGAAAGAUUUAUCGCCUUUAGAGCGGCCCGCGUCUGAUUAGCUAGUUGGUGAGGUAACGGCUCACCAAGGCGACGAUCAGUAGCUGGUCUGAGAGGAUGACCAGCCACACUGGGACUGAGACACGGCCCAGACUCCUACGGGAGGCAGCAGUGGGGAAUCUUGCGCAAUGGGCGAAAGCCUGACGCAGCAACGCCGCGUGGGGGAUGAAUGCCUUCGGGUUGUAAACCCCUUUCAGUGGGAACGAAAUUGACGGUACCCACAGAAGAAGCCCCGGCCAACUACGUGCCAGCAGCCGCGGUGAUACGUAGGGGGCGAGCGUUGUCCGGAUUCAUUGGGCGUAAAGAGCUCGUAGGCGGCUUGGUAAGUCGGGUGUGAAACCUCCAGGCUCAACCUGGAGACGCCACUCGAGACUGCCCUGGCUGGAGUCCGGUAGGGGACCACGGAAUUCCUGGUGUAGCGGUGAAAUGCGCAGAUAUCAGGAGGAACACCAGUGGCGAAGGCGGUGGUCUGGGCCGGUACUGACGCUGAGGA
rnacentral:rRNA from 1 species